rnacentral:rRNA from 1 species
GAUGAACGCUGGCGGCGUGCCUAAUACAUGCAAGUCGAGCGAACAGACGAGGAGCUUGCUCCUCUGACGUUAGCGGCGGACGGGUGAGUAACACGUGGAUAACCUACCUAUAAGACUGGGAUAACUUCGGGAAACCGGAGCUAAUACCGGAUAAUAUAUUGAACCGCAUGGUUCAAUAGUGAAAGACGGUUUUGCUGUCACUUAUAGAUGGAUCCGCGCCGCAUUAGCUAGUUGGUAAGGUAACGGCUUACCAAGGCGACGAUGCGUAGCCGACCUGAGAGGGUGAUCGGCCACACUGGAACUGAAACACGGUCCAGACUCCUAAGGGAGGCAGCAGUAGGGAAUCUUCCGCAAUGGGCGAAAGCCUGACGGAGCAACGCCGCGUGAGUGAUGAAGGUCUUCGGAUCGUAAAACUCUGUUAUUAGGGAAGAACAAAUGUGUAAGUAACUAUGCACGUCUUGACGGUACCUAAUCAGAAAGCCACGGCUAACUACGUG